GGAGCUUGAGACCGGCGCACGGGUGCGUAACGCGUAUGCAAUCUACCUUUUACAGAGGGAUAGCCCAGAGAAAUUUGGAUUAAUACCUCAUAGUAUUAUGAAAUGGCAUCAUUUUAUAAUUAAAGUCACAACGGUAAAAGAUGAGCAUGCGUCCCAUUAGCUAGUUGGUAAGGUAACGGCUUACCAAGGCUACGAUGGGUAGGGGUCCUGAGAGGGAGAUCCCCCACACUGGUACUGAGACACGGACCAGACUCCUACGGGAGGCAGCAGUGAGGAAUAUUGGACAAUGGGCGCAAGCCUGAUCCAGCCAUGCCGCGUGCAGGAUGACGGUCCUAUGGAUUGUAAACUGCUUUUAUACGAGAAGAAACACUACUUCGUGAAGUAGCUUGACGGUAUCGUAAGAAUAAGGAUCGGCUAACUCCGUGCCAGCAGCCGCGGUAAUACGGAGGAUCCAAGCGUUAUCCGGAAUCAUUGGGUUUAAAGGGUCCGUAGGCGGUUUAAUAAGUCAG
rnacentral:rRNA from 1 species